GCAGGCAACAGGCUAAGAACAAAUGGUUGAUAUCUUUCGAGAAACUAUGUAAGAUAUUUCAAGAAUAUGUUCCAGUUGCUCUUGACCAAGAAGCUGCCACCACAUUGCUCAAAACAGUAUUGCAACGAGAAGUGGAUCAAGGAUUCCAGGUCCAAGGAUCUUGCGAGGAUCACUGCCACUGUUUCAAAAGAAACAUCAUUGACCUGCAGUGUAACCUGUCAAGUAAACAGGCAUCCAAAUAUAUUGACAUUCAUCCACAUAAACCACAGAUCAACAAAAGAAAGCAGGACGCACAUCAGGACUUUGUGGAAAGCAUUCAUUCCAGGCUUCGUCACACAAAUAUCUAUACAAAGAAUGUUGUCUGGGGAAGAGAUGGAAUCAGUCCCGUCAGCAACAGAGCCCAUGCUUACUACCUUGAGCGCCUUUGCAAUAAUUUUCAGAAAAUUGUUAUCAACCAGUU